GCGUGAGUGAUGACGGCCCUAGGGUUGUAAAGCUCUUUCAGUGGUGAAGAUAAUGACGGUAACCACAGAAGAAGCCCCGGCUAACUCCGUGCCAGCAGCCGCGGUAAUACGGAGGGGGCAAGCGUUGUUCGGAAUUACUGGGCGUAAAGCGCGCGUAGGCGGGUCUUUAAGUCAGAGGUGAAAUCCUGGAGCUCAACUCCAGAACUGCCUUUGAUACUGGAGAUCUUGAGUCCGGAAGAGGUUAGUGGAAUUCCCAGUGUAGAGGUGAAAUUCGU
rnacentral:rRNA from 1 species